GAUGAACGCUGGCGGCGUGCCUAAUACAUGCAAGUCGAGCGAAUGGAUUAAGAGCUUGCUCUUAUGAAGUUAGCGGCGGACGGGUGAGUAACACGUGGGUAACCUGCCCAUAAGACUGGGAUAACUCCGGGAAACCGGGGCUAAUACCGGAUAACAUUUUGAACCGCAUGGUUCGAAAUUGAAAGGCGGCUUCGGCUGUCACUUAUGGAUGGACCCGCGUCGCAUUAGCUAGUUGGUGAGGUAACGGCUCACGAAGGCAACGAUGCGUAGCCGAGCUGGAAGGGGGAUCGGCCACACUGGGACUGAGACACGGCCCAGACUCCUACGGGAGGCAGCAGUAGGGAAUCUGCCGCAAUGGACGAAAGUCUGACGGAGCAACGCCGCGUGAGUGAUGAAGGCUUUCGGGUCGUAAAACUCUGUUGUUAGGGAAGAACAAGUGCUAGUUGAAUAAGCUGGCACCUUGACGGUACCUAACCAGAAAGCCACGGCUAACUACGUGCCAGCCGCCGCGGUAA
rnacentral:rRNA from 1 species